rnacentral:misc_RNA from 1 species
UCAACCCUCAAGCCUUUUCUUUUCUAGUGGGCUUGGUGUUGGGGACCGGCAGUAUCAGCCCUGCGGAAUGCCGCCCCCGAAAUGAAUUGGCGGUCUCGUCGCGGCCUCCUCUGCGCAGUAGCAAUGACCUUCGCAACAGGAGCGCGGCGCGGCCACUGCCGUAAAACACUCUAUUCACACG